AUUGAACGCUGGCGGCAGGCUUAACACAUGCCAGUCGAGCGGUAGCACAGGGGAGCUUGCUCCCUGGGUGACGAGCGGCGGACGGGUGAGUAAUGUCUGGGAAACUGCCUGAUGGAGGGGGAUAACUACUGGAAACGGUAGCUAAUACCGCAUAACGUCGCAAGAACAAAGAGGGGGACCUUCGGGCCUCUUGCCAUCAGAUGUGCCCAGAUGGGAUUGGCUUGAAGGUGGGGUAAUGGCACACCUAGGCGACGAUCCCUAGCUGGUCGGAGCGGAGGACCAGCCACACUGGAACUGGGCCACGGUCCAGACUCCUACGGGAGGCAGCAGUGGGGAAUAUUGCACAAUGGGCGCAAGCCUGAUGCAGCCAUGCCGCGUGUGGGAAGAAGGCCUUCGGGUUGUAAAGCACUUUCGGCGAGGAGGAAGGUGGUGAGCUUAAUACGUUCAUCAAUUGACGUUACUCGCAGAAGAAGCACCGGCUAACUCCGUG
rnacentral:rRNA from 1 species